AUUGAACGCUAGCGGGAUGCCUUACACAUGCAAGUCGAACGGAGUGGCGAACGGGUGAGUAAUGCAUCGGAACGUGCCCAGUAGCGGGGGAUAACUACGCGAAAGCGUAGCUAAUACCGCAUACUAUUGGAGCGGCCGAUAUCGGAUUAGCUAGUUGGGGGGGUAACUGCUCACCAAGGCGACGAUCCGUAGCUGGUUUGAGAGGACGACCAGCAACGCUGGGACUGAAACACGGCCCAGACUCCUACGGGAGGCAGCAGUGGGGAAUUUUGGAGAAUGGGGGAAACCCUGAUCCAGACAGCCCGCGUGUGCGAUGAAGGCCUACGGGUUGUAAAGCACUUUCAGCGAGGAGGCGUUACUCGCAGAAGAAGCACCGGCUAACUCCGUGCCAGCCGCCGCGGUAAUUC
rnacentral:rRNA from 1 species